rnacentral:rRNA from 1 species
AUUGAACGCUGGCGGCAGGCCUAACACAUGCAAGUCGAGCGGAGCGGCGGACGGGUGAGUAAUGCCUAGGAAUCUGCCUGGUAGUGGGGGAUAACGUCCGGAAACGGGCGCUAAUACAGCAUACGAUUGAAUGAGCCGAUGUUGGAUUAGCUAGCUGGCGGGGUAAAGGCCCACCAAGGCGACGAUCCGUAGCUGGUCUGAGAGGAUGAUCAGCCACACUGGGACUGAGACACGGUCCAGACUCCUACGGGAGGCAGCAGUGGGGAAUAUUGGACAAUGGGCGCAAGCCUGAUCCAGCCAUGCCGCGUGGGUGAAGAAGGCCUUCGGGUUGUAAAGUCCUUUUGGUGGGGAAGCGGUACCCAAAGAAUAAGCACCGGCUAACUUCGUGCCAGCCGCCGCGGUAAUUC